UACCUAAAAGCACCGUUAGUGGAUCAGGAA
rnacentral:sRNA from 1 species